GAAAAGAUUUAUCGGGAAAGGAUGAGCCCGCGUUGGAUUAGCUAGUUGGUGGGGUAAAGGCCUACCAAGGCGACGAUCCAUAGCUGGUCUGAGAGGAUGAUCAGCCACAUUGGGACUGAGACACGGCCCAAACUCCUACGGGAGGCAGCAGUGGGGAAUAUUGGACAAUGGGCGCAAGCCUGAUCCAGCCAUGCCGCGUGAGUGAUGAAGGCCCUAGGGUUGUAAAGCUCUUUCACCGGUGAAGAUAAUGACGGUAACCGGAGAAGAAGCCCCGGCUAACUUCGUGCCAGCAGCCGCGGUAAUACGAAGGGGGCUAGCGUUGUUCGGAAUUACUGGGCGUAAAGCGCACGUAGGCGGACAUUUAAGUCAGGGGUGAAAUCCCAGAGCUCAACUCUGGAACUGCCUUUGAUACUGGGUGUCUAGAGUAUGGAAGAGGUGAGUGGAAUUCCGAGUGUAGAGGUGAAAUUCGUAGAUAUUCGGGAGGAACACCAGUGGCGAAGGCGGCUCACUGGUCCAUUACUGACGCUGAGGUGCGAAAGCGUGUGGAGCAAACAGGAUUAGAUACCCUGGUAGUCCACGCCGUUAAACGAUGAAAUGUUAGCCCGUC
rnacentral:rRNA from 1 species